CGCGGGAUAGAGCAGUCCGGUAGCUCGUCAGGCUCAUAACCUGGAGGUCGAUGGUUCAAAUCCGUCUCCCGCAACCA
rnacentral:tRNA from 1 species